AUGAAAUUCUAUUAUACCAAAGGGACUCGGUAAAGGCGAAGGCAGCCCUCUAUGUAAAAACUGACGUUGAAGGACGAAGGCACAGAGCACAAACAGGAUUAGAUACCCAAGUAGUCUUUGCAGUAAAUGAUGAAUGCCAUAGGUUAGAUUAAGUUUUAAUCAAUUAGUUUAUCAGUAAUGAACUAACUAUUAAACAAUAUUUAGUCUAUAAAUGAAAGUGUAAGCAUUCCACCUCAAGAGUAAUGUGGCAACGCAGGAACUGAAAUCACUAGACCGUUUCUGACACCAGUAGUGAAGUAUGUUGUUUAAUUCGAUGAUCCACGAAAAACCUUACCACAAUUUGAAUAUUUUACAGGAGUUGCACGGCUGUUUUCAGUUAAUGUUGUGAAACUGUGGUUUCCAUGAAAUUAACGCAAUCCCUGGCUUUAUUUUUUUAUUUAUUACAAUAAAGCAUUUGAUCCAGGAUUUGGAAAGAAAAAGGGGACAAAGACAAGUCAUCAUGGCCUUGAUAUUGUGGGCUAUAGACGUGCCACAUAUUCCUACACAAAGAGAUGCAAAAAUGUGAAUUUAAGCUAAUCUCUAAAAAUAGGAUAUAAAUUUUAAGGAUUAUAGUCUGAAACUCGACUAUAUGAAUAAGUAAUUACUAGUAAUCGUGAAUCACCAUGUCACGGUGAAUUUACCUUGGAUUGGUACUAACCACUCGUCACAUGCUGAAAAGAGCAUGCGCAAUAAGUUUGCUUUCUUGAUGAUCAGUAAAAAGAAUAAGCAGAUUCUAUAUUCUAUUAUUAAG
rnacentral:rRNA from 1 species